rnacentral:rRNA from 1 species
UACGGGGGGGGCAAGCGUUGUUCGGAAUUACUGGGCGUAAAGGGCUCGUAGGCGGCCAACUAAGUCGGAUGUGAAAUCCCCAGGCUUAACCUGGGAACUGCAUCCGAUACUGGAUGGCUUGAAUCCGGGAGAGGGAUGCAGAAUUCCAGGUGUAGCGGUGAAAUGCGUAGAUAUCUGGAGGAAUACCGGUGGCGAAGGCGGCAUCCCGGACCGGCAUUGACGCUGAGGAGCGAAAGCUAGGGGAGCAAACGGG